UGGACCCAUACUGACCACUGGUGGCGUAUGAGUUAUGAACAGGAAUACAAUGUGUCUGGAACUCUGACGUCCGA
ensembl:snoRNA SNORD114-5 small nucleolar RNA, C/D box 114-5